rnacentral:tRNA from 1 species
GGUGGCUCAGUGGUAGAGUGCUUGCCUUGCAUGCAUGGGUUCCUGGGUUCAAUUCCUCAGUACCA